rnacentral:sRNA from 2 species
UGUAUCGGAAGCCUGACGAGGAUGAGAACCUCCGGGGGCAAGAGGUUCGACUCGAGCGCAGCGAGAGAACGUUGCGUCAGCAACGGCCCGCAGGGCGAGCC